UCAAACUUGGUCAUUUAGAGGAAGUAAAAGUCGUAACAAGGUCUCCGUUGGUGAACCAGCGGAGGGAUCAUUACAGGACUCGCAAGACUCCCGUAAACCACCGUGAACAUACCUAUAACUCGUUGCCUCGGCGGGUGCUGCUGGGUACUCCCCAGCGGCGCUCAGCCCGCCGGCGGCUCGCUACUCUGUCUCGCAGCGUUGGCAUCUCCGAGUAUCAUACAAACGAAUCAAAACUUUCAACAACGGAUCUCUUGGUUCUGGCAUCGAUGAAGAACGCAGC
rnacentral:misc_RNA from 1 species